UUGCAUGAGAGUUGAGAAGCGAGAGUUUGCAUGAGAGUUGAGAAGCGAGAGUUUGCAUGAGAGUUGAGAAGCGAGAGUUUGCAUGAGAGUUGAGAGGCGAGAGUUUGCACAAGAGUUUAUGAGAGUUGAGAACCGAGAGUUUGCAUAACAGCUGCUGUACGAUAGUGCUUAGUGAAAUCUUGAAUAUUUAAUAUUAGAAAGUUGAAGUAUAACACAUUCUGUACAAUGGAAUGUGUUCUAUUUAUAAAGAGUAGCAUAGUAUAAAAAUAUAAAUUAUAGAGUCAUUUUAAAAGGAGACAGUUGUUUGACAACUGCUUCUACAAUAUAAAUGCAAUUUAAUACAUUAAAAUAAUAAUAAUAAGCAAGUGAAUUUAAUAUAUUGCUUUUCAUAUUUUAUGCAAAACUGAAAAUGAGAAUGUGGCUUCAAGUUUCGUUUUAAUUGUAGAAGGUCCUUUGGCAGGAAUUGAACCUGCGACCCUG